UACGUAGGGGGCAAGCGUUGUCCGGAUUUACUGGGCGUAAAGCGCGCGUAGGUGGAAGGUCAAGUCCGGCUUGAAAGCCCCCGGCUCAACCGGGGAGAGUGGCUGGAAACUGGCUUUCUUGAGGGCGAGAGAGGAGGGUGGAAUUCCUGGUGUAGCGGUGAAAUGCGCAGAUAUCGGGAGGAACACCAGUAGCGAAGGCGGCUCGCUGGGCCAUUCCUGACGCUGAGACGCGAAAGCUAGGGGAGCGAACAGG
rnacentral:rRNA from 1 species